rnacentral:rRNA from 1 species
AACGAACGCUGGCGGCAUGCCUAACACAUGCAAGUCGAACGAGACCUUCGGGUCUAGUGGCGCACGGGUGCGUAACGCGUGGGAACCUGCCCUUAGGUUCGGAAUAACUCCCCGAAAGGGGUGCUAAUACCGGAUAAUGUCUUCGGACCAAAGAUUUAUCGCCUUUGGAUGGGCCCGCGUAGGAUUAGCUAGUUGGUAGGGUAAAGGCCUACCAAGGCGACGAUCCUUAGCUGGUCUUAGAGGAUGAUCAGCCACACUGGGACUGAGACACGGCCCAGACUCCUACGGGAGGCAGCAGUGGGGAAUAUUGGACAAUGGGCGAAAGCCUGAUCCAGCAAUGCCGCGUGAGUGAUGAAGGCCUUAGGGUUGUAAAGCUCUUUUACCCGGGAUGAUAAUGACAGUACCGGGAGAAUAAGCCCCGGCUAACUCCGUGCCAGCAGCCGCAGUAA